rnacentral:rRNA from 1 species
GAACGAACGCUGGCGGCAGGCUUAACACAUGCAAGUCGAGCGCCCCGCAAGGGGAGCGGCAGACGGGUGAGUAACGCGUGGGAAUCUACCGAGCCCUGCGGAAUAGCUCCGGGAAACUGGAAUUAAUACCGCAUACGCCCUACGGGGGAAAGAUUUAUCGGGGUUUGAUGAGCCCGCGUUGGAUUAGCUAGUUGGUGGGGUAAAGGCCUACCAAGGCGACGAUCCAUAGCUGGUCUGAGAGGAUGAUCAGCCACAUUGGGACUGAGACACGGCCCAAACUCCUACGGGAGGCAGCAGUGGGGAAUAUUGGACAAUGGGCGCAAGCCUGAUCCAGCCAUGCCGCGUGAGUGAUGAAGGCCCUAGGGUUGUAAAGCUCUUUCAACGGUGAAGAUAAUGACGGUAACC